rnacentral:rRNA from 1 species
CAGCAGCCGCGGGAAUACGAAGGGGGCUAGCGUUGUUCGGAUUUACUGGGCGUAAAGGGCGCGUAGGCGGGCGAAUAAGUCAGGGGUGAAAUCCCAAGGCUCAACCUUGGAACUGCCUUUGAUACUGUUUGUCUUGAGUUCGAGAGAGGUAAGUGGAACUGCGAGUGUAGAGGUGAAAUUCGUAGAUAUUCGCAAGAACACCAGUGGCGAAGGCGGCUCACUGGCCCGAUACUGACGCUGAGGCACGAAAGCGUGGGGAGCAAACAGGAUUAGAUACCCGGGUAGUCCCUGUCUCUUAUAC